AUUGAACGCUGGCGGCAGGCCUAACACAUGCAAGUCGUGCGGAUGAAGGGAGCUUGCUCCUGGAUUCAGCGGCGGACGGGUGAGUAAUGCCUAGGAAUCUGCCUGGUAGUGGGGGAUAACGUCCGGAAACGGGCGCUAAUACCGCAUACGUCCUGAGGGAGAAAGUGGGGGAUCUUCGGACCUCACGCUAUCAGAUGAGCCUAGGUCGGAUUAGCUAGUUGGUGGGGUAAAGGCCUACCAAGGCGACGAUCCGUAACUGGUCUGAGAGGAUGAUCAGUCACACUGGAACUGAGACACGGUCCAGACUCCUACGGGAGGCAGCAGUGGGGAAUAUUGGACAAUGGGCGAAAGCCUGAUCCAGCCAUGCCGCGUGUGUGAAGAAGGCCUUCGGAUUGUAAAGCACUUUAAGUUGGGAGGAAGGGCAGUAAGUUAAUACCUUGCUGCUUUGACGUUACCAACAGAAUAAGCACCGGCUAACUUCGUG
rnacentral:rRNA from 1 species